UACGUAGGGUGCGAGCGUUAAUCGGAAUUACUGGGCGUAAAGCGUGCGCAGGCGGUGGCUCAAGCCAGGCGUGAAAUCCCCGGGCUUAACCUGGGAAUGGCGUUUGGGACUGGGUCGCUAGAGUGUGGCAGAGGGAGGUGGAAUUCCACGUGUAGCAGUGAAAUGCGUAGAUAUCUGGAGGAACACCGGUGGCGAAGGCGGCAUCCUGGACCAAUAUUGACGCUGAGGAGCGAAAGCCAGGGGAGCAAACGGG
rnacentral:rRNA from 1 species